GUGCUCGCUUCGGCAGCACAUAUACUAAAAUUGGAACGAUACAGAGAAUAUUAGCAUGGCCCCUGCACAAGGACUGUUUAAAGAAUAUAGAUCCAUGAUUUC
ensembl:snRNA U6 U6 spliceosomal RNA